rnacentral:lncRNA from 1 species
AAGAGGUUCGAAAUCCAUGAUCUUUUAAAGUGGUUUACUCUCGAAACGAGUAGCCUUGACAUUGCACAUAAUAUAUCUAAGAAAGGGACCAACUCAUGCAUACAAUGCUCAAUCUCCAUUGUUCUACCCUUUUCCCAAAUAUACAAGUUACACAAUCACUUCAUAAUGUCGAACCCAACUCCCAUCUCUCACCAAAAGACCUCAAGAACACUUUGCACAUAAAACUCUUUUUCUUUGAAAUCUAUAAAGGAUUUUCUUAACUUCUAAACAAAUCUUAGCUCUAAACGACUUUGCUAGCCCCCUUUUCUUUUUUUUUUCUUUUUUUUAUUCUUUUCUUCUUUCUUUUUCUUUUUUUUUCUAUUUUUUCUUUUUUUAUUUUGUUUUUGUUUGGGGGCCAAGACUUUUCACAAAUCGAGCUAGAAGUUUCUCUACUUAUCCCAUAAAGACUAGUCAAUUAAACACAAGAGUUCACUCUUUUCCUUCAACUUUCUCAUACUCCCAAAUCAAACUUCACAACACUCACCCCCAUCCUAUGGCUAGACAAUAAUGUGCCUAAUCUAGCAAGAAUGAAGAUCAAGCAUUGUCGUUCCCGAUACUCUCAACAUUAUGUGCAUGUAAGACUUUCCGAAAAAGGCCUCACUCAUCAAUCAAUGAAGGC